rnacentral:misc_RNA from 1 species
GUAACAAGGUUUCCGUAGGUGAACCUGCGGAAGGAUCAUUAAUGAUUAACUGUCUGUCGAGCUUGCUCACAGACUUAUCAUAUCCAUAACACCUGUGCACUUGUCGGAUGGCUUAGUGAAGACCGCAAGGUUGGAACUAUCCAUCUACUUUACAUAACAAUUUAGUAACAAAUGUAGUCUUAUUAUAACAUAAUAAAACUUUCAACAACGGAUCUCUUGGCUCUCGCAUCGAUGAAGAACGCAGCGAAAUGCGAUAAGUAAUGUGAAUUGCAGAAUUCAGUGAAUCAUCGAAUCUUUGAACGCACCUUGCGCUCCCUGGUAUUCCGGGGAGCAUGCCUGUUUGAGUGUCAUGAAAACCCUCAACCUUAGAUUGGUUAACACCUUUCUUUGGCUUGGAUUUGGACGUUUGCCGAUGAUAAGUCGGCUCGUCUUAAAAGUAAUAGCUGGAUCUGUCUCGCGACAUGGUUUGACUUGGCGUAAUAAGUAUUUCGCUAAGGACAUCUUCGGAUGGCCGCGUUGCAAGACUAAAGACCGCUUUCUAAUCCAUUGAUCUUCGGAUUAAUAUUCUUGACAUCUGGCCUCAAAUCAGGUAGGACUACCCGCUGAACCUAAGCAUAUCA